rnacentral:rRNA from 1 species
AUUGAACGCUGGCGGCAUGCCUUACACAUGCAAGUCGAACGGUAACGGGCCUUCGGGUGCCGACGAGUGGCGAGCGGGUGAGUAAUGUAUCGGAACGUACCUUUCAGUGGGGGAUAACGUAGCGAAAGUUACGCUAAUACCGCAUAUUCUGUGAGCAGGAAAGCAGGGGAUCGCAAGACCUUGCGCUGAUUGAGCGGCCGAUAUCAGAUUAGCUAGUUGGUGAGGUAAAGGCUCACCAAGGCGACGAUCUGUAGCGGGUCUGAGAGGAUGAUCCACCACACUGGAACUGAGACACGGUCCAGACUCCUACGGGAGGCAGCAGUGGGGAAUUUUGGACAAUGGGGGCAACCCUGAUUCAGCCAUGCCGCGUGAGUGAAGAAGGCCUUCGGGUUGUAAAGCUCUUUCGGCCGGGAAGAAAUCGUAUCAGCUAAUACCUGGUGCGGAUGACGGUACCGGCAUAAGAAGCACCGGCUAACUACGUGCCAGCAGCCGCGGUAACAC